GACGAACGCUGGCGGCGUGCUUAACACAUGCAAGUCGAACGGAAAGGCCCCUUUGGGGGUACUCGAGUGGCGAACGGGUGAGUAACACGUGAGUAACUUGCCCUUGACUUCGGGAUAACUUCAGGAAACUGGGGCUAAUACCGGAUAGGAAUCCUUGCUGCAUGGUGGGGGUUGGAAAGCUUCGGCGGUUUUGGAUGGACUCGCGGCGUAUCAGCUUGUUGGUGGGGUAGUGGCUUACCAAGGCUUUGACGGGUAGCCGGCCUGAGAGGGCGACCGGCCACAUUGGGACUGAGGUGCGGCCCAGACGCCUACGGGAGGCAGCAGUGGGGAAUAUUGCACCAUGGGCGGAAGCCGGGUGCAGCAACGCCGCGGGCGGGAUGACGGCCUUCGGGUUGAAAACCGCUUUCAGCAGGGGCGAAGCUUGUGGUGACGGUACCUGCAGAAGAAGCACCGGCUAACUACGUG
rnacentral:rRNA from 1 species